ACGCUCGACACCUACGGAAGGCAGCAGUGGAGAAUAUUGCACAAUGGAGGAAACUCUGAUGCAGCGAUGCCGCGUGAGGGAAGAAGGUUUUCGGAUUGUAAACCUCUGUCUUUGGGGACGAUAAUGACGGUACCCAAGGAGGAAGCUCCGGCUAACUACGUGCCUGCAGCCGCGGUAAUCUGAGCGGCUGGCAAGGC
rnacentral:rRNA from 1 species